CGCUGUCUGCAGGAUUCGAACCUACGCGGAGAGACUCCAAUCGAUCUCAAGUGUACAUACUGUACCCAGUUCUAGUCGAUCUCCUUAACCACUCGGACAAGACAGC
rnacentral:tRNA from 1 species